rnacentral:lncRNA from 1 species
GGUUUAAAUAUCCAUUUUGUCCCCGAGCUUACUUGAGCUCGAACACACUGGAUCACUCUUUAAUGAAUCAGUGCGUUUUGGUCUUUUGUCAUGUGGCCUAAGUCAGUCUAUUUUAAAUGUCCUAAGAUCACUCUUGUUUAAAAUCUAGCUUUCAAAUUGUUGUACCUAGCUUCAGAAACCAAAUCAGAAAUCACCACACCUGAACGGUGACUCUGCUCAAGUAAGUGGUUAAUCUUC